GUACAUCCAGAGAACUUGGCAGAGAUGCCUGGUGCCUUCGGGACCUCUGAGACAGGUGCUGCAUGGCUGUCGUCAGCUCGUGUUGUGAAAUGUUGGGUUAAGUCCCGNAACGAGCGCAACCCCUAUCCUUUGUUGCCAGCGAUUCGGUCGGGAACUCAAAGGAGACUGCCGGUGAUAAACCGGAGGAAGGUGGGGAUGACGUCAAGUCAUCAUGGCCCUUACGAGUAGGGCUACACACGUGCUACAAUGGCGCAUACAAAGAGAAGCGACCUCGCGAGAGCAAGCGGACCUCAUAAAGUGCGUCGUAGUCCGGAUCGGAGUCUGCAACUCGACUCCGUGAAGUCGGAAUCGCUAGUAAUCGUAGAUCAGAAUGCUACGGUGAAUACGUUCCCGGGCCUUGUACACACCGCCCGUCACACCAUGGGAGUGGGUUGCAAAAGAAGUAGAUAGCUUAACCUUCGGGAGGGCGUUUACCACUUUGUGAUUCAUGACUGGGGUGAAGUCGUAACAAGGUAAGCGUAGCGAG
rnacentral:rRNA from 1 species